GUGAAUCAUCAAAUCUUUGAACGCAAAUUGCACUCUCUGGCAUUCCGGGGAGUAUGCCUGUUUGAGGGUCAGUAUAAAUAAAAAUCGAGGUGUCGCUGUUUUGUGACCCAUCGGACUCGGGUGAUCUUUGACCUCUUAAAAAGUUUAAGUGACCUAAAAUUGAUACCUUGUUCAUCUCAGACGUACAUAAGAAUCUUUUUUUAUCCCUCCUGUGUUUCCAACCGUGUAUUAGGUAUGACUAUGCUGUUUGUG
rnacentral:misc_RNA from 1 species